GGAAUCUUGCGCAAUGGACGGCAGUCCGACGCAGCGACGCCGCGUGGGUGAAGACGGCCUUCGGGUUGUAAAGCCCUUUUCUGGGGGAAGAGAUAGGACGGUACUCCAGGAAUAAGUGUCGGCUAACCACGUGCCAGCAGCCGCGGUAAUACGUAGGACACGAGCGUUAUCCGGAUUUACUGGGCGUAAAGCGCCUGUAGGCGGUUCUUCAAGUCGUUUGUGAAAGCCCUGGGCUCAACUCGGGGAGGCCAAGCGAUACUGGAGGACUUGAGGGUGACAGAGGGGAGUGGAAUUUCCGGUGUAGCGGUAAAAUGCGCAGAUAUCGGGAAGAACACCAGUGGCGAAGGCGGCUCCCUGGGUCACACCAGACGCUGAGAGGCGAAAGCUAGGGGAGCGAACAG
rnacentral:rRNA from 1 species